GAUGAACGCUAGCGGGAGGCUUAACACAUGCAAGUCGAGGGGCAGCACAUGAGUAGCAAUACGAUGGUGGCGACCGGCGCACGGGUGAGUAACACGUAUGCAACCUGCCUGUAAGAGGGGAAUAACCCGGAGAAAUUCGGACUAAUACCGCAUAAUACCACGAGACUGCAUGGUUUUGUGGUUAAACAUUUAUGGCUUACAGAUGGGCAUGCGUAUGAUUAGAUAGUUGGUAGGGUAACGGCCUACCAAGUCUACGAUCAUUAGGGGUUCUGAGAGGAAGGUCCCCCACACUGGUACCUGAGACACGGACCAGACUCCUACGGGAGGCAGCAGUGAGGAAUAUUGGUCAAUGGGCGAGAGCCUGAACCAGCCAAGUCGCGUGAAGGAAGAAGGUUCUAUGGAUUGUAAACUUCUUUUGCAGGGGAAUAAAGGACGGUACGUGUACUGUUUUGUAUGUACCUUGCGAAUAAGGAUCGGCUAACUCCGUGCCAGCAGCCGCGGUAAAACG
rnacentral:rRNA from 1 species